rnacentral:rRNA from 1 species
CACGUAGGGGGCAAGCGUUGUCCGGAAUUAUUGGGCGUAAAGAGCUCGUAGGCGGCUCGGUAAGUCAGGUGUCAAAUCCUCAGGCUCAACCUGGGGCUCCACCUGAUACUGCUGUGGCUAGAGUCCGGUAGGGGAGCGUGGAAUUCCUGGUGUAGCGGUGAAAUGCGUAGAUAUCUGGAGGAACACCGGUGGCGAAGGCGGCAUCCUGGACCAACAUUGACGCUGAGGAGCGAAAGCUAGGGGGAGCAAACGGG